rnacentral:rRNA from 1 species
GGGGAUCAGUGGCGAACGGGUGAGUAACACGUGGGCAACCUGCCCCCGGCUCUGGGAUAACUCCAAGAAAUUGGGGCUAAUACCGGAUGUGACUGCUGACCGCAUGGUCUGGUGGUGGAAAGAUUUAUCGGCUGGGGAUGGGCCCGCGGCCUAUCAGCUUGUUGGUGGGGUGAUGGCCUACCAAGGCGACGACGGGUAGCCGGCCUGAGAGGGUGACCGGCCACACUGGGACUGAGACACGGCCCAGACUCCUACGGGAGGCAGCAGUGGGGAAUAUUGCGCAAUGGGCGGAAGCCUGACGCAGCGACGCCGCGUGGGGGAUGACGGCCUUCGGGUUGUAAACCUCUUUCAGCAGGGACGAAGCCGUGAGGUGACGGUACCUGCAGAAGAAGCACCGGCCAACUACGUGCCAGCAGCCGCGGUAAUACGUAGGGUGCAAGCGUUGUCCGGAAUUAUUGGGCGUAAAGAGCUCGUAGGCGGUCUGUCGCGUCGGCUGUGAAAACCCGGAGCUCAACUCCGGGCCUGCAGUCGAUACGGGCAAACUGGAGUGUUGCAGGGGAGACUGGAAUUCCUGGUGUAGCGGUGAAAUGCGCAGAUAUCAGGAGGAACACCGGUGGCGAAGGCGGGUCUCUGGGCAACAA